UACGCCGUAUGCUUAAAUUGGAAUCUCUGUUAAUAAUCUGUGUACAGUACCCACUUACAGAAGUACUACGGUAGGCCGCCUAUUUCCGCUAUUGGCUCUGCAGUCGAAAAAAACGCGUGUUGUACCUACAAAUGGUUAAGUACUUCUGCAAUACAUUACGAACAUGGCCACAUCUACAGUAGCUUGGCUCGCAAGAAUUGGUUGAAGUAACUUGUACUUACAACUUCUUAUCAGGUACUUGGCGUUAUGGACAUGAUCAUACAAUAAAAACUCGACAGUGGUCAUUGAGUAGCUGAUAUCAUUCGCAAAGAGCAUAAUUGAUCCGCGCGACCACUGCCCAGCGGGACAUCUUGAUAUUAUCCACCGUAAGCUCCACCUGAUCCCAUGGUGGAGGUCACCGGUCCAACGCUGGAUCCCAUUGUUGAUCCCAUGGUCGAUCCCAUUGUGGAUCCCAUUGUUGACCCCAUGGUCGAUCCCAUAGUCGAUCCCAUCGUUGAUCCCAUGGUGGAUCCCAUUGUUGACCCCAUGGUCGAUCCCAUGGUAGAUCCCAUCGUUGAUCCCAUUGUUGACCCCAUUGUCGAACCCAUCGUUGAGCCCAUUGUCGUGGCUACAGAGAAAUCUAGUUGUACUGUAAACCAUGGCUUACCGAAGACCAUUAUCUUCGCGUUUAAUACACAGGGGUAAACUAAUGCCAGUGGUAUAAUUAAUUCUUUUUUAGUUAAUUUGCACAAUAUUUGCUACAGAUUGUGACAUUGUUAGGAACUUAUGAUGAUUAUGAA